rnacentral:rRNA from 1 species
AUUGAACGCUGGCGGCAGGCUUAACACAUGCAAGUCGAGCGAGCGGCGGACGGGUGAGUAAUGUCUGGGAAACUGCCUGAUGGAGGGGGAUAACUACUGGAAACGGUAGCUAAUACCGCAUACUAUUGGAGCGGCCGAUAUCGGAUUAGCUAGUUGGUGGGGUAAAGGCUCACCAAGGCAACGAUCCGUAGCUGGUUUGAGAGGACGACCAGCCACACUGGGACUGGGACACGGCCCAGACUCCUACGGGAGGCAGCAGUGGGGAAUUUUGGACAAUGGGGGAAACCCUGAUCCAGCCAUCCCGCGUGUAUGAAGAAGGCCUUCGGGUUGUAAAGUACUUUCAGCGGGGAGGCGUUACCCGCAGAAGAAGCACCGGCUAACUCCGUGCCAGCAGCCGCGGUAAUACC